GAUGAACGCUGGCGGCGUGCCUAAUACAUGCAAGUCGAGCGAACGGACGAGAAGCUUGCUUCUCUGAUGUUAGCGGCGGACGGGUGAGUAACACGUGGAUCACCUACCUAUAAGACUGGGAUAACUUCGUGAAACCGGAGCUAAUACCGUAUAAUAUUUUGAACCGCAUGGUUCAAAAGUGAAAGACGGUCUUGCUGUCACUUAUAGCUGGAUCCGCGCUGCAUUAGCUAGUUGGUAAGGUAACGGCUUACCAAGGCAACGAUGCAUAGCCGACCUGAGAGGGUGAUCGGCCACACUGGAACUGAGACACGGUCCAGACUCCUACGGGAGGCAGCAGUAGGGAAUCUUCCGCAAUGGGCGAAAGCCUGACGGAGCAACGCCGCGUGAGUGAUGAAGGUCUUCGGAUCGUAAAACUCUGUUAUUAGGGAAGAACAUAUGUGUAAGUAACUGUGCACAUCGUGACGGUACCUAAUCAGAAAGCCACGGCUAACUACGUG
rnacentral:rRNA from 1 species